rnacentral:rRNA from 1 species
UACGGAGGGGGCUAGCGCUGUACGGAAUUACUGGGCGUAAAGCGCACGUAGGCGGACUGGAGAGUCAGAGGCGAAAUCCCGGGGCGCAACUCCGGAACUGCCUUUGAAACUCCCGGUCUUGAGGUCGAGAGAGGUGAGUGGAAUUCCGAGUGUAGAGGUGAAAUUCGUAGAUAUUCGGAGGAACACCAGUGGCGAAGGCGGCUCACUGGCUCGUUACUGACGCUGAGGUGCGAAAGCGUGGGGAGCAAACAGG